AGAACGAACGCUGGCGGCAGGCUUAACACAUGCAAGUCGAACGCUCGUAGCAAUACGGGAGUGGCAGACGGGUGAGUAACGCGUGGGAACAUACCCUCCGGUUCGGAAUAGCUCAGGGAAACUUGGAUUAAUACCGGAUACGGCUGAGAGGCGAAAGAUUUAUCGCCGGAGGAUUGGCCCGCGUUCGAUUAGCUUGUUGGUGAGGUAACGGCUCACCAAGGCGAUGAUCGAUAGCUGGUCUGAGAGGAUGAUCAGCCACAUUGGGACUGAGACACGGCCCAAACUCCUACGGGAGGCAGCAGUGGGAAUAUUGGACAAUGGGCGCAAGCCUGAUCCAGCCAUGCCGCGUGAGUGAUGACGGCCUUAGGGUUGUAAAGCUCUUUCGCUCGGGACGAUAAUGACGGUACCGAGAUAAGAACGCCCGGCUAACUUCGUGCCAGCAGCCGC
rnacentral:rRNA from 1 species